GCCGAGAUAGCUCAGGGGUAGAGCACACCCAUGGUAAGGGUGGGGUCGUGGGUUCAAUUCCCAUUCUCGGCU
rnacentral:tRNA from 1 species